GAUGAACGCUGGCGGCGUGCCUAAUACAUGCGAGUCGAGCGAACAGAUGGGGAGCUUGCUCCUCUGACGUUAGCGGCGGACGGGUGAGUAACACGUGGAUAACCUACCUAUAAGACUGGGAUAACUUCGGGAAACCGGAGCUAAUACCGGAUAAUAUAUUGAACCGCAUGGUUCAAUAGUGAAAGACGGUUUUGCUGUCACUUAUAGAUGGAUCCGCGCCGCAUUAGCUAGUUGGUAAGGUAACGGCUUACCAAGGCAACGAUGCGUAGCCGACCUGUGAGGGUGCUCGGCCACACUGGAACUGAGACACGGUCCAGACUCCUACGGGAGGCAGCAGUAGGGAAUCUUCCGCAAUGGGCGAAAGCCUGACGGAGCAACGCCGCGUGAGUGAUGAAGGUCUUCGGAUCGUAAAACUCUGUUAUUAGGGAAGAACAAAUGUGUAAGUAACUAUGCACGUCUUGACGGUACCUAAUCAGAAAGCCACGGCUGACUACGUG
rnacentral:rRNA from 1 species